rnacentral:rRNA from 1 species
UACGUAGGCACCAAGCGUUGUCCGGAUUUACUGGGCGUAAAGAGCUCGUAGGCGGUUCUGUAAGUCGGGUGUGAAAACUCUGGGCUCAACCCAGAGACGCCACCCGAUACUGCUGUGACUUGAGUACGGUAGGGGAGAGGGGAAUUCCUGGUGUAGCGGUGAAAUGCGCAGAUAUCAGGAGGAACACCAGUGGCGAAGGCGCCACUCUGGGCCGUAACUGACGCUGAGGAGCGAAAGCGUGGGUAGCAAACAGG